rnacentral:snRNA from 1 species
AUACUUACCUGGUUAUGAGGUAAACCAUGAUCAAUAAGGCGGUUCCUCAGGUGUGAGGGCCUUCCAUUGCACUUAGGUGGCUUAAACUCCUCCAUUAUCCUAAAUGUGGAUAAUUGGAUAUCAUAUUUUCUGUUAGUGGAGAUCUGCGUGCACCCUAAUCCCCU